AUUGAACGCUGGCGGCAGGCCUAACACAUGCAAGUCGAGCGAGCGGCGGACGGGUGCGUAAUGUAUGGGGACUGCCCGAUAGAGGGGGAUAACUACUGGAAACGGUAGCUAAUACCGCAUACUAUCGGAUAACCCAUAUGGGAUUAGCUAGUAGGUGAGGUAAUGGCUCACCUAGUCGACGAUCCCUAGCUGGUCUGCGAGGAUGAUCAGCCACACUGGUACUGAGACACGGCCCAUACUCCGACGGCGGCAGCAGUGGGGAAGAUUGAACAAUGGGCGCAAGCCGGAUGAAGCCAUGCCGCGUGUAUGAAGAAGGCCCUAGGGUUGUAAAGUACUUUCAGUCGGAAGGCGUUACCGACAGAAGAAGCACCGGCUAACUCCGUGCCAGCAGCCGCGGUAAUAC
rnacentral:rRNA from 1 species